GGUCCUGUAGCUCAGUGGUUAGAGCGACGGUCUUAUGAGCCGUAGGUCGUGGGUUCAAUCCCCGCCGGGACUA
rnacentral:tRNA from 1 species